rnacentral:rRNA from 1 species
AGAGUUUGAUCAUGGCUCAGAUUGAACGCUGGCGGCAGGCCUAACACAUGCAAGUCGAGCGGUAGCACAGAGAGCUUGCUCUCGGGUGACGAGCGGCGGACGGGUGAGUAAUGUCUGGGAAACUGCCUGAUGGAGGGGGAUAACUACUGGAAACGGUAGCUAAUACCGCAUAAUGUCGCAAGACCAAAGUGGGGGACCUUCGGGCCUCAUGCCAUCAGAUGUGCCCAGAUGGGAUUAGCUAGUAGGUGGGGUAACGGCUCACCUAGGCGACGAUCCCUAGCUGGUCUGAGAGGAUGACCAGCCACACUGGAACUGAGACACGGUCCAGACUCCUACGGGAGGCAGCAGUGGGGAAUAUUGCACAAUGGGCGCAAGCCUGAUGCAGCCAUGCCGCGUGUGUGAAGAAGGCCUUCGGGUUGUAAAGCACUUUCAGCGGGGAGGAAGGCGGUGAGGUUAAUAACCUCAUCGAUUGACGUUACCCGCAGAAGAAGCACCGGCUAACUCCGUGCCAGCAGCCGCGGUAAUACGGAGGGUGCAAGCGUUAAUCGGAAUUACUGGGCGUAAAGCGCACGCAGGCGGUCUGUCAAGUCGGAUGUGAAAUCCCCGGGCUCAACCUGGGAACUGCAUUCGAAACUGGCAGGCUAGAGUCUUGUAGAGGGGGGUAGAAUUCCAGGUGUAGCGGUGAAAUGCGUAGAGAUCUGGAGGAAUACCGGUGGCGAAGGCGGCCCCCUGGACAAAGACUGACGCUCAGGUGCGAAAGCGUGGGGAGCAAACAGGAUUAGAUACCCUGGUAGUCCACGCCGUAAACGAUGUCGAUUUGGAGGUUGUGCCCUUGAGGCGUGGCUUCCGGAGCUAACGCGUUAAAUCGACCGCCUGGGGAGUACGGCCGCAAGGUUAAAACUCAAAUGAAUUGACGGGGGCCCGCACAAGCGGUGGAGCAUGUGGUUUAAUUCGAUGCAACGCGAAGAACCUUACCUGGUCUUGACAUCCACAGAACUUAGCAGAGAUGCUUUGGUGCCUUCGGGAACUGUGAGACAGGUGCUGCAUGGCUGUCGUCAGCUCGUGUUGUGAAAUGUUGGGUUAAGUCCCGCAACGAGCGCAACCCUUAUCCUUUGUUGCCAGCGGUUAGGCCGGGAACUCAAAGGAGACUGCCAGUGAUAAACUGGAGGAAGGUGGGGAUGACGUCAAGUCAUCAUGGCCCUUACGACCAGGGCUACACACGUGCUACAAUGGCAUAUACAAAGAGAAGCGACCUCGCGAGAGCAAGCGGACCUCAUAAAGUAUGUCGUAGUCCGGAUUGGAGUCUGCAACUCGACUCCAUGAAGUCGGAAUCGCUAGUAAUCGUAGAUCAGAAUGCUACGGUGAAUACGUUCCCGGGCCUUGUACACACCGCCCGUCACACCAUGGGAGUGGGUUGCAAAAGAAGUAGGUAGCUUAACCUUCGGGAGGGCAGCUACUACUUUGUGA